GGUUGGUGGGAAGGGCAUGAUAGGAGUGCAGAGAAGCUUGCUUGAACCUGCAUCUCUUCUGGUGCUGCAGACUAUGAACUCCUGUGCCUUUGAGCAUGCUUGGCAUGCUGACUCUGAGUAGUUUCUCUUCUGAGAGGGAAUCCCCAUUACAGUACUGCAAGAGCCAGCGUUGUAUGAGAACCCACGUGUACUUAAUGGCACAGCUGAGGGGUUUGCUUCCAAAUUGUGCUGCUGAACCAAACUAAAACUGAAGUAGAUACUUCCCUUCCAGUGAUAAUAUUCUGCAGUCCUGUCUGUUCACUGGCUGAGGAAAAAUGGCUCUAAUAAACAGUGGCAACUGUCGGUCUGGCAAUAAAUCCCACUCAGCUUGGGGCCUUGCACAAUGCAGUCUCCUCAACAAACCCAGGUGCCGCACAGACACACGUCCUUGUUUUUCACCAGUGAGGCAGGGAAGAGCUUUCAUUCCUGCUUCCUGGGGAACCUUUGCAAAUGCUAAUCAGUGA
rnacentral:lncRNA from 1 species